rnacentral:pre_miRNA from 1 species
CAAAUACUCCAUCCGUCCGGAAAUACUUGUCAUCAAAAUGAAUAAAAGAGGAUGUAUCUAGAUGUAUUUUAGUUUUAGAUACAUCCCUUUUUAUCUAUUUUGAUGACAAGUAUUUUCGGACGGAGGGAGUACUGA